rnacentral:rRNA from 1 species
GAUGAACGCUGGCGGCGUGCUUAACACAUGCAAGUCGAACGAAGCAAUUGAGCGGAAGUUUUCGGAUGGAAGCUUAAUUGACUUAGUGGCGGAGGGGUGAGUAACCCGUGGGUAACCUGCCUUAUACUGGGGGAUAACAGUUGGAAACGACUGCUAAUACCGCAUAAUAAAGAAUAUCGCAUGAUUUUCUUUUGAAAUAUUUAUAGGUAUAAGAUGGACCCGCGUCUGAUUAGCUAGUUGGUGAGGUAACUGCUCACCAAGGCGACGAUCAGUAGCCGGCUUGAGAGAGUGACCGGCCACAUUGGGACUGAGACACGGCCCAAACUCCUACGGGAGGCAGCAGUGGGGAAUAUUGCACAAUGGGGGAAACCCUGAUGCAGCGACGCCGCGUGAGUGAAGAAGUAUUUCGGUAUGUAAAGCUCUAUCAGCAGGGAAGAUAAUGACGGUACCUGA